UCUUGCAAGACUGUCAUUAAAGCCUCGCUCCACUGUUCUCUUUGUCUCCGUGUCCACUUAUUGAAUUUGGACCAGUGUGUUUCUCACAAUUUGGGGGAUCAUCCGGGAUCCUCUUGCCUGUGUGAGGUGGGGGCCCAAGCGGAGUGGGAAGAUGCGUCCUGACCAGCUUUGGGCGGCCCGCUCUGUCUGGGUGUUUCACCUUCACACAGAAGCUGAGAGAAGGCCCAAGACUGUUGUGUGGAGACAGCAUGACCAAUGCAGGGGAGAAAAUGCAGGCACUGCAGCAACCAGGCAACCUCGUGCAUGAGCCAAGGCUGAAAGGACUUCUCGCCCAGACUCCCCCACUUGAGUUCUUCGCUCACUGCUUCCAGCCUGGGGACCUAGUGUUAGUAAAAUCCUGGAAAGAAGAUUGACUCCAGCCCAGCUGGGAAGGCCCCUACCAAGUGCUCCUGACCACAGAGACUGCAGUGAAGAUGGCUGAAAAGGGUUGGACUCAUUACACCAGAAUAAAGAAACUGACUGGGGGAUCUGGGGACAAAACAGAGAAUUGGCAGGUGUUCCAGGUGGCUAACCAACCCUUAAAGCUGAAACUAAAAAGAACCUAAGAAUGUUAACUUUUAUCCUUCUAACUCUGUAUUUCACAGGCAAGUCACAGAGAGCCCUAGAAUGGGAAAGAACUCCUAGUUAUCCUAUCGAACUAGUAAUCAAUAUUACUAAAACAUCAAGCCCCCAAACCAUUAGGUUUGAUGCUUGUCAGGUUCUCUCUUGUGGUGACCUAAAUGACCAAAGACAGCUUUCUAGAGAUAAUAAGUAUCUCUGUCCUAAACAGACAAAUCUUAAUAGAAUAAAAAAGGCAAGUGGGCCCCCAUGUCCAGGGUGGAGCAGUGUUUGGUAGACUACCCAGUUUCAAGAACGGAUGGCCCCUCAUGCAGCAGAAAAAUCUUUAAAAAGAAAGCUCCACUUAGCUAAAGGAAUUCCUCCUGAUAAUUGCCAAGACAGACAGUGUAACCCCCUUUUAUUAACUAUACAUAAACCUCAAGACUUAGACUCAGACCCUGUAAUUGCUCCUCGUGUUUAAGGACUCGGUGCAGAUAUCAUUAGAGUAGAUCCUGUGGGAAAGUUUGGUCUUAAUUUAAUCGAAGAAAAGACAUCACCCAUAGGGCCCACCCCUGAUUCUGAGGGAAAUAAUGAGCCAGAGAUUCCCCAUAAUGACCCUAGACUAGUUACUGUAAUAGAGAUAAAAGAUCUAAUACAGACUCUUAAAAUAGAGAUGAGUUAUGGAGACACCAAUGCCUUUGUAGAAUGGGUUAAAUUUUCAGUACUAGCUUUAAAUAAAAGUGAUUGUUAUGCAUGUGCUGCUAGAUGGCUACAAGCGCAGGUGGUCCUGGUCCCUUUGGGCUGGGACACAGACCCCACUGAGAUGAACUGCAUGUUAGCCCUGUUUCAGGACAAGGACGCUUGGAGAGAUGAGACUUGCAAGAGCUUAUCUUUACUCUUUCAUGCACUAAAGAAGUCAGACUCAAGGGCAAUCCCCUCUUUUUCCAUAGAGAAGAUGAAUCAUCCCUCUUUCCUCUCUAGGCAAGGGGAAGGUUUCACAACUCCUGUGGGGAACUUACUGACUUGUACCCCAUGUCCUAAAUGUCUCUAAAGACCUCACAACUUCUCGAAAUUACACAUCCCCCGAGCGGAUGUUUGGUGGUAAUAUGGAAAGGGGAACCUGCGCUACUCAUUGCCACCCAACUGGACUGGGAUUUGUGCUUUAGUCCAAUUGGACAUUCCAUUUACCCUGGCAUUUCUCUCCACACCCAAUGAAAAAAAUUUUUUCAUAGAAGUCGCAGAUCAUUACAAGGAUCCUUUGAUUUGAAUGUAUACAUUGACUCAAUAGGAGUCCCCAGGGGAGUCCCUGAUGAAUUUAAAGCUAGAAACCAAAUAGCUGCAAGAUUUGAGUCAGCACUAUUUUAGUGGUCCACCAUCAACAAAACAUAGAUUAGAUCAGUUACAUUUACUAUAACCAACAAAGAUUCAUUAACUAUACCAGUGAUGCUCUUCAAGGAGUAGCUCGUCAACUAGUAUUUUAAUUUACACUUGGUCUUUUCUCAAAUUUCUCUAAUAGCUUUUUACUCUCUUCCUCAUAGUUCAAUUUUUCUUCUAUUAACAUAAGAUUAUUUUGGUGUAGGUCAUAGGUAUUUGCUUGUUUAUGGCUGCCUCUAUAAGAACAAGGGAUGUUAAAAUAGAGGCAACCAUACCUUUCCAUUUUCCAAACCAUCCUUCUAACUAGUCUGUGAAAGGGUCACUGAUGCCAGAGUUUUCAGCUAAUUCUUUAGCUAAAGUGGUGAGUCUCUGUAGGGCUUUAGUAAUAGUACCAUCAGGGGCAGUAUUAUUUGGAAUAAAAUAAAAAAUUCUUAAAUAAAAAGAGGGGGGAACUGUUAGGAAAGUAUAAAACCUAGAUGUGAUUUAUUCCCACUAGGAUGUUUAAACAUUUUAACAGUAAGGUAUUAACAAAGGGCCACGUGGUGGAAGCUGCUUGGGCUGAGAGUGGGGGUGGGAGUGGAGGAAUUGAUAAGGGCCUGGCGAUAACUGUUUUGAGUUUUUUAAAUCUACCAAUAAGAUUAAGACAAAUUUAAAAGAAAGAUAUAACUGGCUUAGGCGAAGUCAGGAGAAGAAUGUGAACCCUGUAGUACUCAGCCAAUGAGGAACCAGGGGAGGGACUCGCGCACUAGGAGAUAAAUUACUGGCACCAAUUUUCCAAGGUGUGCCUGCUCACCAGACACCGGAUCUUGCAAGACUGUCAUUAAAGCCUUGCUCUGUUGUUC